UACAGAGGGGGCAAGCGUUGUUCGGAAUCACUGGGCUUAAAGGGCGCGUAGGCGGGCUGUCAAGUCUGGGGUGAAAUCCCGCGGCUCAACCGCGGAACUGCCUCGGAUACUGACGGCCUCGAGGGGGGUAGGGGCGAGCGGAACUGAUGGUGGAGCGGUGAAAUGCGUUGAUAUCAUCAGGAACCCCGGUGGCGAAGGCGGCUCGCUGGACCCCGUCUGACGCUGAGGCGCGAAAGCCAGGGGAGCAAACGGG
rnacentral:rRNA from 1 species